rnacentral:rRNA from 1 species
UACAGAGGUCUCAACCGUUUGUUCGGAGUUCAAUUGGGCGUAAAGGGUGCGUAGGCUGGUCGCGAAGUCGGGGGUGAAAGCCUGUGGGCUCAACCCACAGAAUGGCCUUCGAUACUGGGACGCUUGAGUAUGGUGAGAGGUUAGGUGGAACUGCGAGUGUAGAGGUGAAAUUCGUAGAUAUUCGCAAGAACACCGGUGGCGAAGGCGGGCCAAACU